UGGUUCGUAGGCCUUUUUGAG
rnacentral:misc_RNA from 1 species